GGAGAGGUGCCUCAGUGGUUAAGGUCACUGGCUACUCUUCCACAGGACCCAGGUUCGAUUCCUAGCAUCUCCA
rnacentral:tRNA from 1 species